AUUCAACCUUAUUAAGUUUACAUAUUGAAAUGCAAUGCUUUGUGUGAGUGGAUGAGACUCUAACCAGACAGAAAAGUUGUAAACUUGCAGUCCAUUUACCAUCCUCCAUUUGAAUGGAAUAUCAUUUAGUAACUUAGAAGUGACGCGUAAUAUAGCAUAAUAUGUGACAUAGAAACAACUAAAAGUGACAGUGUUUGCGAUAUUUCUGCCAAAAUGGUCCUCACACACACACACACACACACACACACACACACACAUACACACAGGACACAGCACACUUAAAGCAAUAGUAUUCUUAAUAUAUCUGUCAUUUCAACAUUCAAAAGGUGCAACCCUUUGCUUUUUAAUAGCUUACCUUUUCUCCACACUCAGAUGUACUGCACACAUGCAGGCAGGCUGCCAUGCACAGCUCACAACAUGGACACUGUCCUUUACCACACACACUGUCUGGAGCAUGCGCCUAUAAACAACAAGGCACAAAACUGACCCAUUUCUGAUCCAGUCACCAAAGUCCAUCCCAGUCAGACAGACAAUGUUAGAACGAAGUCCACGACGAGACAAAUUUAAGGCAAACAGUCUAAAAAACUUAGAACUAUAUAGUGGUGCAGUUGGUAUAUUCAGCACGCACUGUACACACAACAGCACCCUUGAACUGGAAACUCAGCCCUUAUGGAUAGUCCACAAUACUUGAUACCACUCACAAAUACUUGAUGUGUGUUCUUGUAAGAACACUGCAGAAUGCUCUUAGAAGCAGACCAACAAGGUGUCCUUCCAGUGAAACCGCUCGACCACAGCUCGAGCUUGAACUACUGCAGAAUUCAAAGAUUUGUAAGUUUGGCACGGUGCUUUCUCAUCUCCAUACAGCACACGGAAGACGGGACAUGCCGGGUUGAUCGGGCAAGACUGCCGCAGACAGAAGCGGUAAGAGAAAAGCUGCUCAACUAGACAGAGAAGAUGCGUUGGGCUAACGUGAUAGCCAAGUCCUCACACAGAAAUAGCAGGAGAACGAUGACUAACCCAGAGAAGACAGCGGAUAAACAAGCAGCGGACACAAAUCUGCUCUUGUCCCAGUUAGAGGAGCGAAGAAUCCGGAGUGGAACAAACAAGAGAGGAUAGUUUCGAGCACAGUUCCUCUCUCAGUCCAACAGUGUCGGUAACGAUAAAGACUAUCCUGUACGUUCGUCCACUGGCCAGCUCGCCUCCAUUCAGCCAGCAGUGUAGCGUUCACUCAAACAACAUCAAGCAGCCGGCAUUGCAUGUGUAAACUUCCUGUUGACACUUUCAAGUUAAAAUACAGUUUGGUCAACAGAGAGUCAAUGUUCCGGUGGACCCAGUUGGACCUAAUGUGAGAUAAAACUCUGUAAGUGAAUGGAGAGACAAAUUCUGUUUGAAUUGUGUAAUGUGUCAAUUUGUCAUCAAACUAAUGAAAUAUCAGACUACAUCAUAAUAAAGACAACAGAACUAACA